CUCUGAUAGGACCACAAGCUCCUACAAGCCAGAUACAGGUUUAUCUCUGUGAAAUAUUUCUAGCAGCUAAAAGAGUUAAGAAUUUAUGCUGAUGUUGGAUGAGUAACUUUAUCUUCUAUGGCUUACAAGUGUUCUACAGAUAAGGUACUGAAGAAAAAAUAACUGAUAACAGGAGAAGAAAAAUGCUCUCUGGUUUCUCAGAACCUUGCCCUAAUACUUCUUCAUAAAGCCUGUUAUGUUGGUGGUGGUCAAUAAACUGGGAUUCUCAGCAUUCAAGCCUUUAUGUCAGCCCCUCCAACUCUGACCCUGGGUUUGGCCAUGCAACUGGCUUUGACCACUGGGAUAUUGAUAAGCAUGAUGGGAGUGGAUGCUUGAUGAGUGCUUAUACAUUAGCCUUGCCAACUUGCAAUGAUCUCUCUAGAACUCAGAUGCCGUGUUGUGCGCAAGUCCAAGCAGCCCCAUCAUAUGGCCAAGUCCACGAGGAGAAGAACCGAAGCCCUGGAUGAUGCCCCAGGAGCUCCCAGAAGCAGUUGUCUGUGCCAAGGAUCAGAAGCCACAAACACGCAUUAGCGGGCUUUUAGCCUACAAGGAAGAGAAAUCUCGAGUCAGAUUUGUAGAGAGUGAGAGGCUGCAAGUCUGAGACCAGGGUGCCAGCACGGUCAGGUUCACGUGAAGACCCUUGUCUGGGAUACAGACGGACGACUUCUGCUGCAUCCUCACACAGCAAAUAGAGGGCCCAAGAGCUCUUUGGGGUCUCUGACAAAGAUGUGGGGAUCCGGCCACCGGGAGAGAAACUUGGCCAUCUGGGCUGACCCAAGCACAGAUCAGACAGAUCAGGCAAUUUGGAGAGCAAGGAGGAGCUUGGAGGCACAUCAGCAGGAAACUGAAUCAGAAGCAGAGCAGCCAGGACAAGACCUGGUGCUUUGAUGUGGGAGGCUGGCACCACAGGCAGCAACUUUGCUCACUGCACCACAUCACUGGCCCCCUGAAGGUAAUUGAACACAAUAUUUUCAGUGCACCUGUGUUUUGAAUGUGACCUCCAUCAUGAGGUCACGUGUGGAAUUUUCCAUUUGUUCAGUCUAAAUUUUCUUUAAAAAGUUCACUUAAAGAAUGUUAUCUUUGCACCAUGAAACCAUUGAGUAUGGACUUCACCUUGCCCCUUGGAGCAUGUGCCUGGGCAGUAUGGCUCUUGUUGCUAUGGUCCAUAAAGCUGAGGGGCAGGUGCAAGCAGACUACUUUCUGGUUAGUUCUUACAAUGAGUCACAUGUGGUAUCCAGCAAUUAUUUUCCUAAAUAUGUAUUUCCCCUGUUGCCUUUGAAUUGGGGCCUCCAUCUGGUGCCUCUGGUAAUGGGGGUUCUGUAAGGUGGGGAUUCUUGUGAAAAUGACUUACUGGGGGACUGCUAUUGGGCAUUGGGAGAGAGGGAAGCAGCGUCAUGCGGCUGAGGAUUUGCUCUCGGUGGGACUUAUAGCACAGAAGCUCUGGGCCCAGCAGGCAUUAGCCAUGGCCAGCUUACAGCAGUGGGUGUCUCCUGGCUGUGGGCAUUCCCUCUUUUUUAAAAAAAAAAUAUUUUUUUAAAUUUAUUUAAGGUAUAGAGCCACAGACAGAGAGAGGGAGAGACAGAGAGAAAAGUCUUCCAUCCACUGAUUCACUCCCCAGAUGGCCGUGAUGGCCGGAGCUGGGCCAAUCAUUACGCCUUGAAGAGUGUGGGACUCUACCUUCGUAUGCUGUUGGAUGCAUAUCAGAGGAAGACAGGCAGAUUCGCAGGGCUGGGAUACACCGUCACCACUGGAAUCCCUCCUGCUACAUCUGCCCCGCGGUCUGUCUUUCCCAGGCUUCCUGGAAACCACACAGCUUCUCUGUAAACGCCUCACUCAGGUGAGACCAUGCAUAGAGCAGGAUAUGGGGGUAGGUCAGUUCCCAUACUGACUUGGGAUCCAAAAGCCCGAAGUCCUUUUUCUUGGUUCAAUCCCCUAGCUGCCAUGGCAUAUUUGGGAACCAAUUUAACA